rnacentral:rRNA from 1 species
AGGGAAAGUUGCAAAGGACUUUGAAAAGAGAGUUCAAGAGAACGUGAAAACAAUAAUGUGGAAGCGGAGAGAGUUGUCAAAUAUGGGUUGUUAAGUUGAUUGGGAGCCCUUCAGGGGAUACCGUAGGAUGGCGCCGCGUAAGAUGCGCUGGUAGCGUCAGAUGUGAUUGCAGACCCGGUAUGUGUUGCCCACUUCGGUGGUGUCUUGCUGGCGGUUAGGUAGAUCAGGUCAGACGUCUAGCUUUGUAAGCAGAGUACCGGUGUUAACGACAAUCACCUCUCGGGCCAGUUACGAUACUCGGUCCGAGGAGUGUAACGGGCGGGAGAGUCGGAGGUUGGUAAACCCAACGGUGUAA